rnacentral:tRNA from 1 species
ACUCCCUUAGUAUAAGCAGUACUAUUGACUUCCAAUCAAUGAGCCUCGUACAACUCGAGAAGGAGUA